AGUGAACGCUGGCGGUAGGCCUAACACAUGCAAGUCGAACGGCAGCACAGUAAGAGCUUGCUCUUACGGGUGGCGAGUGGCGGACGGGUGAGGAAUACAUCGGAAUCUACUUUUUCGUGGGGGAUAACGUAGGGAAACUUACGCUAAUACCGCAUACGACCUACGGGUGAAAGCAGGGGAUCUUCGGACCUUGCGCGAUUGCAUGAGCCGAUGUCGGAUUAGCUAGUUGGCGGGGUAAAGGCCCACCAAGGCGACGAUCCGUAGCUGGUCUGAGAGGAUGAUCGGCAACAUUGGAACGGGGACCCGGUCCAGCUUCUGAGGGGGGGCGGCAGAGGGGAAUAUUGGACAAGGGGCGCAAGCCUGAUCAAGCCAUACCGGGUGGGUGAAGAAGUCCUUCGGGUUGUAAAGCCCUUUUGUUGGGAAAGAAAAGCAGCAGGUUAAUACCCCGCUGUUCUGACGGUACCCAAAGAAUAAGCAACGGCUAACUUCGUG
rnacentral:rRNA from 1 species